rnacentral:rRNA from 1 species
CUACGGGUCGCUGCAGUGGGGAAUAUUGGACAAUGGGGGAAACCCUGAUCCAGCAAUGCCGCGUGUGUGAAGAAGGCCUGCGGGUUGUAAAGCACUUUCGGUUGGGAGGACUGCUUCUAGCACUAAUAUUGUUGGAAGUUGACGUUACCUUCAGAAGAAGCACCGGCUAACUCCGUGCCAGCAGCCGCGGUAAUACGGAGGGUGCAAGCGUGAAUCGGAAUUACUGGGCGUAAAGCGCGCGUAGGCGGCUAGAUCAGUCGGGUGUGAAAGCCCCGGGCUUAACCUGGGAACUGCAUCCGAUACUGUGUAGCUUGAGUACAGGAGAGGAGAGUGGAAUUCCACAUGUAGCGGUGAAAUGCGUAGAUAUGUGGAGGAACACCAAUGGCGAAGGCAGCUCUCUGGCCUGAUACUGACGCUGAGGUGCGAAAGCGUGGGGAGCAAACAGGAUUAGAUACCCGCGUAGUC